rnacentral:rRNA from 1 species
GCGAGACAAAAAAAGAAACGGAUCGCCCAGCCCUAGCCUAGCGAGUCCUCAACUUUUCCCUCUCCCUCGUCCGCCGCCAUCACCGGCGACCUACCCCACAGCCGCUGCUGCCAACCUGCACGGAGGCGGCGGCCUGGGCGACAUGGCACUCUCGUCGUCUAGAUCGAACUGAGCGGGAGGGGGAGAACAAUUGCCGCCUUCUCAUGCUGUCUCGUCUCCACCGUACCUUGUCUGCGCCGCGUGGUGAUGACCGGCGGCACAGCCGGUGUUGGCGGCAGUGGUCGAUCCCCUGGUUGUCGUAGCUUCUGGAAGGCCGGCACUAACGAGGCCCCCUCCGUCCCCAUCCACGAGUUCCACGACAGGGGACUUCGACCGCGCCUGCGUGCAUCCCAGGUUCCUCCGCAUCAACCUGACCUCCCACAAGUUGGCGUUCAGAGCUAUAUCUGAACUUCUUGAUAAUGGAGUAGAUGAGGUUUGUAAUAUCUUCUAACAUCUUCUAUGAAUUAGAUACUCGUUGAUUUAAAUUGUGUGAUAAUACUCGAAUGUCUGAUACACGGAUUAUUCUGUUGUAACUUGUAAGCUGAAAUUUUGAGAUGUCACACUCCUGUUUCUAGGAAAACCAUGCUAUACUGCUAUCACAUUUAUUUAUUUGUUUAUUUUAUUGUAUUCGUGUAUUAUAACACAAUGCUCUGUUCAUCAGGGUGUUAAUAACUUCACUUUCUAACAAAUGCCUCAUCACUGAUGGGGGCGACAUCGAACAACAAUUCUGUGUGGUUAAUACUGUAAAUUUGAGAAAUUGAUUUGCAAGCAUGUGCCCAUUGCAAAUUUGAUGGGUACAUUAUACAUUAAGAAUUUGUAUGACCUGACAUUCACGGGUACUAAUAUUUUCUGAAUAGGCAUGAGUGAAAAGGUGAUUAAGAAUUCUGAUGGACAGUGAUGGGGCGGUAUUUGUCGAGGUUGCUAGGUGGGUGGACUUUCCUUUUCUGCAAGGACUUCUCUAGUUCUAUGCUUUCACUUUGGAUGACCGUGUGAAGCACUGAAUUCUGACGUCGGCCUCGCCGCAGAAGUCCGCCCGCACCGCCGAUCGGCGGGUGUCGAAGAGGCCCAAAUCGCUCCCACUCUGAAGCUCAAGGAGGUUCCAAUCACCACCGGCGAAGAGGAUGAGGACAUCCUUGAUAUGUAGCCACGCAAGGUGGAUCCCUCGUCCCGUCGAAGCCGCGAGAAGAGGAGCCCCACCCGGACGACUUCCCCCCGUCUCCCGCGGAUGGUUCUUCUUCCAUUGAGACGCCCAGGCCCGACGGAUCUUGCUCGUCGCAGCCCAGGGCCUGGUCCGUCGGAGCGGUCAGAGAGGAGUGGUGGAUGUGCGUCCUCUUAGACGCCGCCUUUCAGAGAAGGCGGGGAUGAGCGGAUUGCAGCGAGGGAAGCGGCUCGGCUCGGACCGUCCAUGGCGCUAGCACGAUAGCUUGCCUCCUCUUCCGGCAUGGCUAUUGUUUUGGUCCACGCCGUUUCUGCCUCGACGGACACUGUCGUCGUAGGUGCCGAUGAGGAGACCCGCGACCAACUAUCUGGGCCCAGCGCGCUCGGUCAAUUCCCUCGGAGCAAGAGCAAAUUUAACAAAGCAAUACAACAAAACGUGGAGCAGCUAAUGUACAUCCAAUCAACUCUCAGGGCAUUCAAGGAGCGAGGAACAAUGGGUAUAUCAAAUAAAAAACGUAACCAGCUUUCCCCGGGUGAAGAAUCCUCUACUAAAAUGAGCCUCAGGUACAUCCUACUCAGAUGGCAUAGGAGAGAUCUACAACCAGUUUUACUCAGGUUCUUUUGCUGA